CCAGGAUGCAGAGUGGCUGCAGGGCUGUAGAGCCUGUGAAGGACAGCUUUGGCUGCAGUGGUGUGCUGUGUCAUCUAACUUCACCACGCCAGAUCCUAGGAGCAAAAUCCAGCAAAGCGUGUUCACCGGUUCUGUGUUGCACACGAGGGGCCUGACAGCAUUUCAUGUCACCUUGCUUCAUGUCUCUGCUCCAGACAGUGCCAGAGUUCUCUUCAAGACAAUGGCAAGAUGUUGCUGCUGAGGAUGAUUCACAACCUUUUCCACAAGCAGCAUGUAUGAGAUAUAACCCUUCCCAAGUAUUACAGCUUUACUUCUCCAGAACUUCUUUGUGCUGCUCUCCAUGACCAGCUGCACAAACUUUUAGCUUCAUGAUGUAACAAAACCACUCAGCUUGGCUGAUUUUGCAGCUUUCCAGAUACUUUGCACUGUGAAAGCAUUCACAAAGAGGGAUAAUUUUGUCUGAGUGACACAGAGGUGGGACAUAAAGACUGAGUGGCAGGUGGUUGUGGUCAUUCCGAUCCACAGAGGGUUACAUGGAGCAAGGAGCAAGCAUUCUUCUCUGGUCCAUCAUAAUGAGUUUUACAGACACAGAUUAAGGUGUGUGAGGAGAACAGCUGGACAUGUUCCCUCAUUGCAGAAUGCCUGGAAAAUGUCAUCUUGUCAGAAAACUUGCUUGAAACUGUACAUUUUUCUUGAGCUCAGACAUCUGACCUAAAGUUUCAAGAAAGCCCUUCAGCCAGAGUGGUAGCUACAGGUCUGAUUGAACUGAAGACACACUUCUUUAGAAGAUGAUAUGACAUUCAGGGUCUUCUCUCAGGAUGGUCAGCAGCUGUGACCUUUUGUGUGUGUGCAGCAAGAUUUCUGCAGGGCUCCUGGGUACCACUGAUGAUUUACAACUCCUUAGACAGCUAAAGAAUCUGGUGAGGGUGAAACUCUGCUUCACUGCACCCACCUGCAUGCAACUCAGGUGCCCAGCCUGGGACCACAGGCUUAUUCAGCAUUGUCACAGCAGAGAGAGAGAAAUUUUUGCUUCGGGCAUUGCAUCACUUGCUUGGAAUGAAGAUUAUGGGAACUGAGACUUUACUGACAUCAACUAUAUAAAUACAAGCCAUCUACAUUUAUGAAAGAAGAAAGACAUCAAAAACAGCGCUGGGGUGCCUUUCAUCAAUGAUACAGACCAUCUGAUAUUAUACAGGAAUGCCAGUGUUAGAGUAUGUGUGACAAUCUGAAAAGAAAUUGUAAAUAAAAAACCCCACAGUUUUAAUCUAUUUUCCCUUAUCUCUGAACAGAAGAUGUUCUUCUGGCUAUAAUGAAGAUAAACAACUUCUCUCUGUACUUUGCUCUGCUCCGGAGAUACUGAGAAGUGGAGAACACUGUGAUUACUCUUUCAUUUCAAAAGUUGUUUGCAAUGUACCUAAUUAGUCCUGGUAGAAACAAAAGUGAGAGCAACCUAAACUGCAGAAAGAGUUCAAUGUAUCUUGCUUAACUUGGAAACCGUGGCCAAUAUAAUCAUUUGCAAGCAAAAAUAUCCUUACCUUCCUUAGUUUCCCUGAACAAGCUAUUUGAAUGGGGGAAAAAAAAAGUAAGAAACUUCCUUUCCCUUUACCACUUGAAAACAGGACUUUGAAUCAGAAUACAUUUUGUUUAUCCACUUUCUUACAGCAACUUAGGGCUUUGAUGAAGCCCUUAUGACUGUUGAACAGAAAUGUUAGAGGCAUUAGCCACCACCUGACUGCGCUCUAUGUAAUGUGCACUGGUUACAAAUAGCUUGGAGAAAGUUGAGAACUCAUUAAGUAUUUGGCACUGAAAACAAACCCAAACAAACCACAGAAGCUCUUUAUUGAGCACAAACAGCUUCAGUUGAGCACAUAUUUCCAGAAUGGUAAGAUAAUGAAUUUUGGCAUAUUGGUUUUUUUUGUUUGUUUUGUUUGUUUUUUUGGUUGGUUGGGGUUUUUUGGCUAGAUAUUUUUUCUUUCAUUCUAAGAUAUGAACUGAAUGUACUGCACUUUUCCAGUGUGAUGCAAGCAACGGAAAUAAAAGAUGUGGGAAUCUGAAACUUGGACCAAGAUUUUCAACUCAAGAGGUCUGGGUUUAGUUAAAAACAGACCUUGAGAAAAAUUUCUUGAUUGUAGGUGUACCAAUGGUUAAAAUAUGAAGAUUAAAAAUGGAGGAAUUGAAAUUGUGUUAACUCAGCAAUGACUUCAGUGAGUUUCAGUGCAACACAAGGAGGACAGUGAGGUCCCUGUCAUAAAGAGCCACAUGGGGAGGGAGGAAGGAGGCAAUAUUAGAGCUGGUGGAAAACAAGUUGUUCUUGGAUUGCUCAGGCCAUUAAUGUGACUAAUACUGUGAAGAGACACAUCUCAGACUCCUUAACAGAUGUUUGUUUUCAAAGUUGUUGGAGUGUGCAGAUUUUGAAACUCAGGCUAUUAGAGAUGUAUUUCCAUUUCUGGUGGCGCACAGGUUGAACUUAGCUAUGGACUGAGGAUCAUGCCUGAGUCACCUCAGCCUGACUUCUAGUGUGGAGCAGCCCAGGCCUUUAUCCUUGCUGCUUGGAUGUGAGGAGUCAGAGAGCAGGCCACAGCAUGUGCAUAAGCACAAGGUGGUUGUCCAAGGCUUUGUUCCAAGGGAAAAAUAGAUCAGGAGGAUUGCCAUACUGAAGAACAACCUCUUGCCUGUGCUUGCCCCUCACUUUUUCCAGCCUGAUGUUACCACAAAAUACACGGAACAUCACAGGCUGUUUUGGGGCACUGGGACUUCAUUCACACUUCCCUGAGAAAACAUGAAGAAUUGCAGAUGACUGAGGGGAUAGAAAUUAAUGUCAUCCUUCUGUUGUUAGGUCCUGUGUGAUUUCUACUCUCUCCCACAGGAGAGUUUUGCUACUGCAAGUGAUGGGCUGUGACAAAUAGACUGAACUUCAUUGUUUGCCUUUCUGUGAUAUAGGGAUUAGUAUAAAUCAUGAUGGAUCUUGUAUGGUCCUGCAGAGUCAAGGCUUGGCAUCACAAUCCAUCAGCUCCACUGCAAAGGUUUUCCCUGUGUAUUCUCUACCAUAACACCCCAAUGAAGGGAAUACAAACAAGAUUAUUCUGUGAGUCUAUAUUACCUGCACAAGUUUUUCUGUGGCCUUUCUCUGACUCCUGGGGGGAAAAAAAUGGAAAUGCUUUAUGCAUUAAAGAUAGUGAUUAUACCAAAGUUAACAUAUAUAUUCUCAGUAAAAUCAUUACCAGAGUGUACACAUUCCUGGAGGGCAUUAUGAAAUGUAGUUUAAAAUGCAUCUUGGACAUCCAACCCAAACACAAGAACCCUCCAUGCACACUCUAUGGUUUGCAGAAAUGGAGUAGCUGCCUUUACAGUGUGGCAUGUCAUAAAAAAUUUUCUUUGAGAGUCUAUAAUGACCUCUAGGUGAAAUACAAUUUGAAGUGUAUACGGUAAUGAGCUUUUCAGGUAUUCACAAAGUAAAACUUGUGACUUGAAAGUCAAUUAAAAUUCUUACACAUCUUCUUAGAAUUGCAUAAAUACUAUUGGAAUAUCAUAGUAGAUUCCAGAAUAUCUUCAAAAACAUAGAAAUCUCUGCAAUUAUCUUUGACUUGGUCUUUGCAGGUGUCAUGACAGGUCUGUUGCAGUGGAACUGAGUCCAAUUUUUCCCUUAACAAAAUAAAGUCUUUCUAAAACUGA